rnacentral:rRNA from 1 species
AAUCAACGCUGGCGGCGUGCCUAACACAUGCAAGUCGAACGAGAAAGUGGGAGCAAUCCCAUGAGUACAGUGGCGAACGGGUGAGUAACACGUGACUAACCUACCUUCCAGUGGGGGAUAACCUCGGGAAACCGGGGCUAAGACCGCAUAACCCCGUGAGGUGAGAAUCCUUGCGAGCAAAGGGGUAAGACGCUGGAUGAGGGGGUCGCGGCCGAUUAGCUAGUUGGCGGGGUAACGGCCCACCAAGGCGAUGAUCGGUAGCCGGCCUGAGAGGGGGCACGGCCACACUGGAACUGAAACACGGUCCAGACUCCUACGGGAGGCAGCAGUGGGGAAUUUUGCACAAUGGGGGAAACCCUGAUGCAGCAACGCCGCGUGGAGGAUGAGGUCCCUUGGGACGUAAACUCCUUUCGACCGGGACGAUAAUGACGGUACCGGUGGAAGAAGCCCCGGCUAACUCCGUGCCAGCAGCCGCCGUAAUAC